AGCAUGUGCCCUGUUUUAACUCUGAAGCUUGUUGGCUGUGACUCAUGGGCUAUUAUUCACACAAAUGGUGCAGAGACAAAGACAAAUGGUGCAGACGAUUCUGAAGAAACCCCUGUGUGUGAGAAGGAAGAAGAGGAUGGAGAGGGACUGGAUGCAGCCAAGGAUGCAGAAGAAGUUGCUGGUGAGGAGGUUGACCACCCGGUGAAGCUCCCAGCUGAUGAGGUUGAACACCCUGUGAAGCGCCCAGCUGAUGAUGAGGUUGACCACCCGGUGAAGCUCCCAGCUGAUGAGGUUGACCACCCUGUGAAGCGCCCAGCUGAUGAGGAGGUAUGCUUUUGUCAGAUGAUUUUAAAACGCAGUCAAUAUAAUAGAUUCACUUAUACCAUGAGACUAUCUUUAUGA
rnacentral:lncRNA from 13 species